UACGAAGGGGGCUAGCGUUGUUCGGAGUUACUGGGCGUAAAGGGCGCGUAGGCGGCGCACCAAGUCCGGCGUGAAAGCCCUGGGCUCAACCCGGGAAUUGCGCUUGAGACUGGUGUGCUUGAGUACGGGAGAGGAUAGUGGAAUUCCCAGUGUAGAGGUGAAAUUCGUAGAUAUUGGGAAGAACACCGGUGGCGAAGGCGGCUAUCUGGACCGUAACUGACGCUGAGGCGCGAAAGCGUGGGGAGCAAACAGG
rnacentral:rRNA from 1 species